rnacentral:rRNA from 1 species
GACGAACGCUGGCGGCGUGCCUAAUACAUGCAAGUCGAACGAACGGCGACUAAGUGCUUGCACUAAGUGAAGGUGAGUGGCGAACGGGUGAGAAACACGUGGGUAACCUACCUCAUAGUGGGGAAUAACAGACGGAAACGACUGCUAAUACCGCAUAGGACAUAGGCACACAUGAUAAAGUGAGGAAGGGUGGCGCGAGCCAUCGCGAAGAGAUGGAGCCGCGGUGCAUUAGCUAGUUGGUAGGGUAAAGGCAUACCAAGGCGACGAUGCAUAGCCGACCUGAGAGGGUGAUCGGCCACAUUGGUACUGAGACACGGCCCAAACUCCUACGGGAGGCAGCAGUAGGGAAUCUUCCGCAAUGGACGCAAGUCUGACGGAGCAACGCCGCGUGAGUGAAGAAGGUCUUCGGAUCGUAAAGCUCUGUUGUUAGAGAAGAACAGCUCUUAGAGUAACUGCUAUGCUUGUGACGGUACCUAAUCAGAAAGCCACGGCUAACUACGUG